rnacentral:rRNA from 1 species
CGGGUGAGUAACGCGUGAGGAACCUGCCUCAAAGAGGGGGACAACAGUUGGAAACGACUGCUAAUACCGCAUAAGCCCACGGCUCGGCAUCGAGCAGAGGGAAAAGGAGUGAUCCGCUUUGAGAUGGCCUCGCGUCCAAUUAGCUAGUUGGUGAGGUAACGGCCCACCAAGGCGACGAUCGGUAGCCGGACUGAGAGGUUGAACGGCCACAUUGGGACUGAGACACGGCCCAG